rnacentral:rRNA from 1 species
AGUGAACGCUGGCGGUAGGCCUAACACAUGCAAGUCGAACGGCAGCACAGUAAGAGCUUGCUCUUACGGGUGGCGAGUGGCGGACGGGUGAGGAAUACAUCGGAAUCUACUUUUUCGUGGGGGAUAACGUAGGGAAACUUACGCUAAUACCGCAUACGACCUACGGGUGAAAGCAGGGGAUCUUCGGACCUUGCGCGAUUGAAUGAGCCGAUGUCGGAUUAGCUAGUUGGCGGGGUAAAGGCCCACCAAGGCGACGAUCCGUAGCUGGUCUGAGAGGAGGAUCGGCCACACUGGAACUGAGACACGGUCCAGACUCCUGCGGGAGGCAGCAGUGGGGAAUAUUGGGCAAUGGGCGCAAGCCUGGUCCAGCCAUACCGCGUGGGUGAAGAAGGCCUUCGGGUUGUAAAGCCCUUUUGUUGGGAAAGAAAAGCAGCAGGUUGAUACCCCGCUGUUCUGACGGUACCCAAAGAAUAAGCACCGGCUAACUUCGUG